UACGUAGGGUGCAAGCGUUUGUCCGGAAUUAUUGGGCGUAAAGAGCUCGUAGGCGGUUCGUCGCGUCGGCUGUGAAAUCCCGGAGCUCAACUCCGGGUCUGCAGUCGAUACGGGCGAGCUAGAAUUCGGUAGGGGAGACUGGAAUUCCUGGUGUAGCGGUGAAAUGCGCAGAUAUCAGGAGGAACACCGGUGGCGAAGGCGGGUCUCUGGGCCGAUACUGACGCUGAGGAGCGAAAGCAUGGGUAGCGAACAGG
rnacentral:rRNA from 1 species